UCCGGGUCACAUAAAAGCUUGAGUUGAGGGGUGUGCACACUAUAGGUUAUUGGCCAUUGAUAUUAUUGGUAAACCGGCCGGGGCUCCCGGGUUUACAUUAUUAUAGACCGGCCGGGACUCCCGGGUCUAUCAUUUGCUAUUUAGUGGGUCGGCGGGGCUCCCGGAUCCACUCUGACUUUGUCUUUGGAUUAUUUGAUAACUCUUGUUUGAUGAAAUGAUCUUUGAACUUGAUAAUAAUUGAUAUUUAUUCCACGUCUCGUAUUUGAUUAUCAAAGAUGAAUUACUCGUGAUUAUGGACUCGAUGAAUCCAUUAUUAAUAUAUUAGGAUACUCAAACGUCGUGAACAUGCUACUCGAUUACAUUGUGAUUUCGGUGAUGAAACUUAUUGGUAACUCUAUUUGACUAUAUUCUUGUCUACAUGAUUUAUAUGAUUAUUUUACUUAUCAUGACUAUGUAAUUUGUUUUGGAACUUGAUGAUUAUGAGCAUUGAAUAUAAUUAAUGUAGCUUCGAAAUACGAAAUCCUUUGGCUUUGAAUGGAUAUAGAUUGACAUAGAAAGUUUAUAAAAGGGAAACUUUAAAUAAGAAUAUAAUGAGAAUUUGAGUAGUACUUUUAUCUUUUGAAGUAUAUAUCUUGAUGUUUUCUGGUUUUGCUUAAGGUGGAGUGUUGGUACUCAGCUUUUGCUGACGUGUGUUAUGUUUGUGUUUUGUUUGUGUUGUUCUUUCCCGUGUGGGGUUGAACCUGUAAUGAUCCAUAUACUUUGUAUAAUGGUGAGCAGUUGAUACUAGAGCAGGUUUCUUGUUGGAUUCGCGAAGUUUAAGGUGAGGACGGAAAUUCAUAGAGGAACUUUAUAUUCGAAGACUUCCAAAUGUAAAUUGUACUUGGGUUUAAAUAUGUAUUAGUUAUAUUAGUCUUGUUGAGGUUUUGAUUGAAGAUUUCUUUGAUUAGUUUGUAAUACUGAUUAGUGCCAUUGGGUUUGAUUCCCUCUUGAGGUUGUUUUCGCGAAAGCGUUAACGGUUUUAGGUUUUGAUUGAAGAUUUCUUUGAUUAGUUUGUAAUACUGAUUAGUGUCAUUGGGUUUGAUUCCCUCUUGAGGUUGUUUCCGCGAAAGCGUUGACGGUUUUAGGUUUUGAGAUGAAGAAUAUUAUAUUUUGUUGA